UGCUUCCUGCCCUCUAACCUCAGACUCCAAGUUCUUCAGCUUUUGGACUCUUGGACUUAUACCAGUGGUUUACCAGGGGCUCUCGGGCCUUUGGCCACAGACUGAAGGCUUCUUGAGGUUUUGAGGACUGAUCCACCACUGGCUUCCUGGCUCCUCAGCUUGCAGAUGGCCUAUUGUGGGACUUUACCUUGUGAUCGUGUGAGUCAGUUCUCCUUGAUAAACUCCCUUUCAUACGUACAUCUAUCCUAUUAGUUAUGUCCCUCUGGAGAACCCUGUCUAAUACACCUUUUAAUAAGGAAACUAGUUGUAUUGGACGAAAGGCCCACCCUGCCUCAGUGUGAACUCGUCUUAACCAAUUACAUCUGCAGCAACUCUGUUUCCAAAUAAAAUCACAUUCUGAGGUCCUGGGGGUUAGGACUUCAACAUAAGGAUUGGUGGAAGACACAAUUCAACCCAUAACAGGUCCUGUCCAAGGAACUCCUGGGACAAUGCCCUGAGUGUUCUCAGAAAUAACUACAGGGAGCUCUGUGGGGUGCUCAGAGGCCCAGCCAUUGUAGUGACCUCAUGGUACGCUUGGAUCGGUGAUUCCCAAGUUGAUCAGUUACAUCUUAGGGACUCACCUGGGAUUAGUCCACAUCAGGAACUGACUUGGUCCUGGGACUUGGGCUGAUUCAUGAGUGUCAACAGUGGUGACACACCAGAGCCUUGGAGCCCAGGGAUGAAGCGGACCUGCAGACAAUUCUGGGGGUCAGCAAGGAAGCUGGACAGGAAGUGCCCCAACCAACAACUCUAAUCCUCUUGGACAGGUCUGAAGUAUUUGCAGGGAAGAUGGUGGAAAAAAAAAAAGGAGAGUCUCGGAGUGCAGCACGGCUGGGGCUUGCUGAAAGUGCCACACUGAUCCCCAGGGAGAUGCUUGGGCCUGGCAUAAAACUCCUUAAUACCUGAACCUUUCCCUGGAGAAGGCCAGUGUGGCCAGAGCUCGUGUAGCCCGCAGCAGCUCCUGGCAUGGCCCAGCCUCCAGACACUUGGGAGAUUUGGAAGGAAGAUAGUGGAGGAGGCUUCUCAGAUUUUAGAAGGAACAGAGGUGCAUGAAAAGUCAAGUAUCCUGGGGGAGCACACAUGGACACCGGGAUGAGUAGGAGUGCUGGGCACCGAUGGGCCAGAGGGAGUGAGGCAGGGCCCACCCUUGAGAGUCUUUGUGUUCUUCCAGCCAGCACUGCUGAAGAUACUUGGGAGCUGGGCAGUCCAAGUUACCUGAGUGAGGGAAAGCCCUCCUUAGAAUGAGAGACUUUUGGUGCACUCAACAGCUGAUGGCAAGUGUGAUGAGAAUGCACCUUUAUAUCAUGGACAGUUUCCAGUAGACCCUGAAGAGGCAUCUGUGGUUGACCUCGGCUGGGCUGAUGCAGUGCGAAUCCCAUCCCAUUUUCCUAUCUGGCUUCCUCUGCCGUGGGUCUGGCUGGGAUUGCCUUCUCUGCAAGGCCUAUGUGUGGUGCCAGGUCCCGGUGAACCAGGCUAUGUAGCAGAAUCCUGCACACACGUACUGCACCAAGCUCUCCUGUGUAUUGGCGUCCUGUCCUCCUAUGGUAAGACCACCUCAUGAUUCAGCAUGGCCAAGGGGCGUGAGCUCUGUGCUGGAGAGCAUGGGAGGGGAGGCUUCUCAGGGGUGGAACGAUCUGAGCAAAGACGACCCUAACAGCUUCGGUGAUCCUCCUUUCUUGCCUUGCUUUUAGCACACAUAAACACAUGU
rnacentral:lncRNA from 10 species